GGUGGUGUACCCAAGGCCCAGGGGACCAAGGCUAAGGCCAAGGUCUAUCAUUCAUGAGGGCUUCAUGGAGGCUCUAAGGCUAGUUGGGCCCUAGGUUGAAAGGCUGUGGGCCUUUCGGGUUCUUGAGGUCUAGGUUAUGUGUGCCUCAAGGGACCAACUCUUUAUGGGCCAGGUCUGGGCCCAGGAUAGAUGAGAUUAAGUCGAGUCAUGGGUGUACA
rnacentral:lncRNA from 1 species